rnacentral:miRNA from 1 species
GCCCCGUGGAUUCAGUUCUAC